rnacentral:rRNA from 1 species
CAGUAGCCGCGGGAAUACGGAGGGAGCUAGCGUUGUUCGGAAUUACUGGGCGUAAAGCGCGCGUAGGUGGUUCGCCAAGUUGGAUGUGAAAUCCCCGGGCUCAACCUGGGAACUGCAUCCAAAACUGGCGAGCUAGAGUAUGGUAGAGGGUGGUGGAAUUUCCUGUGUAGCGGUGAAAUGCGUAGAUAUAGGAAGGAACACCAGUGGCGAAGGCGACCACCUGGACUGAUACUGACACUGAGGUGCGAAAGCGUGGGGAGCAAACAGGAUUAGAUACCCCCGUAGUCCCUGUCUCUUAUAC